rnacentral:lncRNA from 1 species
GAGUAUCCAUGACCCAGAGAGAGUAUCAGUGUCAAGAAUCUGCCAGUGAGAAAGUGAUUUGAAGCAGCUCUGGAGUUCAGAUGGCCACGGGUGCAAGUGCCUGCUCUGGUGUGCUUUGCCUCUGGAAAGAUGCCAAGUCUUUGAGAAUCUUUGCUGCAUCAGCCAUGCUACAUCCUGAGGACUUGGAGCUACAGCCUGAACUAAGACUGGGUCCUUGCAGCUCUCCAACACAUGAUUGCUG